rnacentral:rRNA from 1 species
AUUGAACGCUGGCGGCAGGCCUAACACAUGCAAGUCGAACGAGUGGCGGACGGGUGAGUAAUGUCUGGGAAACUGCCCGAUGGAGGGGGAUAACGACGGGAAACUGUAGCUAAUACCGCAUACCAUCGGAUGUGCCCAGAUGGGAUUAGCUAGUAGGUGGGGUAACGGCUCACCUAGCCGACGAUCCCUAGCUGGUCUGAGAGGAUGACCAGCCACACUGGAACUGAGACACGGUCCAGAUUCCUACGGGAGGCAGCAGUGGGGAAUAUUGCACAAUGGGCGCAAGCCUGACACAGCCAUGCCGCGUGAAUGAAGAAGGCCUUCGGGUUGUAAAGUACUUUCAGAGAGGAGGCGUUAAUCACAGAAGAAGCACCGGCUAACUCCGUGCCAGCAGCCGCGGUAAUAC